GAUGAACGCUGGCGGCGUGCCUAAUACAUGCAAGUCGAGCGAACAGAUGAGGAGCUUGCUCCUCUGACGUUAGCGGCGGACGGGUGAGUAACACGUGGAUAACCUACCUAUAAGACUGGGAUAACUUCGGGAAACCGGAGCUAAUACCGGAUAAUAUAUUGAACCGCAUGGUGCAAUAGUGAAAGACGGUUUUGCUGUCACUUAUAGAUGGAUCCGCGCCGCAUUAGCUAGUUGGUAAGGUAACGGCUUACCAAGGCAACGAUGCGUAGCCGACCUGAGAGGGUGAUCGGCCACACUGGAACUGAGACACGGUCCAGAGUCCUACGGGAGGCAGCAGUAGGGAAUCUUCCGCAAUGGGCGAAAGCCUGACGGAGCAACGCCGCGUGAGUGAUGAAGGUCUUCGGAUCGUAAAGCUCUGUUAUUAGGGAAGAACAAAUGUGUAAGUAACUAUGCACGUCUUGACGGUACCUAAUCAGAAAGCCACGGCUAACUACGUG
rnacentral:rRNA from 1 species